rnacentral:rRNA from 1 species
CGGGUGAGUAACACGUGAGCAAUCUGCCCUUGACUCUGGGAUAACGCCGAGAAAUUGGUGCUAAUACCGGAUAUGACCCCUGGCGGCAUCGCUGGGGGUGGAAAGUUUUUCGGUCAAGGAUGAGCUCGCGGCCUAUCAGCUAGUUGGUGAGGUAAUGGCUCACCAAGGCGACGACGGGUAGCCGGCCUGAGAGGGUGACCGGCCACACUGGGACUGAGACACGGCCCAGACUCCUACGGGAGGCAGCAGUGGGGAAUAUUGCACAAUGGGCGAAAGCCUGAUGCAGCAUCGCCGCGUGGGGGAUGACGGCCUUCGGGUUGUAAACCUCUUUUAGCAGGGAAGAAGCGAAAGUGACGGUACCUGCAGAAAAAGCGCCGGCUAACUACGUGCCAGCAGCCGCGGUAAUACGUAGGGCGCAAGCGUUGUCCGGAAUUAUUGGGCGUAAAGAGCUCGUAGGCGGUUGGUCGCGUCUGCUGUGAAAACCCGAGGCU